rnacentral:rRNA from 1 species
GACGAACGCUGGCGGCGCGCUUAACACAUGCAAGUCGAACGAUGAAGCUAGAGCUUGCUCUGGUGGAUUAGUGGCGAACGGGUGAGUAACACGUGAGUAACCUGCCCCGAACUCUGGGAUAACUGCUGGAAACGGUAGCUAAUACCGGAUAUGACCAAUGAAGGCAUCUUCUGUUGGUGGAAAGAAUUUCGGUUCGGGAUGGACUCGCGGCCUAUCAGCUUGUUGGUGAGGUAGUGGCUCACCAAGGCGACGACGGGUAGCCGGCCUGAGAGGGCGACCGGCCACACUGGGACUGAGACACGGCCCAGACUCCUAAGGGAGGCAGCAGUGGGGAAUAUUGCACAAUGGGCGCAAGCCUGAUGCAGCAACGCCGCGUGAGGGAUGACGGCCUUCGGGUUGUAAACCUCUUUUAGCAGGGAAGAAGCGAAAGUGACGGUACCUGCAGAAAAAGCACCGGCUAACUACGUGCCAGCCGCCGCCGUAA